rnacentral:misc_RNA from 1 species
AAGAGUUGCAAAACUCCCACAAACCAUCGCGAACGUUACCCAGACGUCGUUGCUUCGGCGGGCUCGCCCGCCGGGGGGACGCUACCAGACUCUUGCAGUUCUUCGGCCUCUCUGAGUAUGAUUUUUAAAUAAGUCA